AGAGUGCAGUCUCGCUGGGCAGAUCAUGUAAGCCCUAUGGGGCUAUACUGACGCCUGUUCUCAUGUAACGAUGAAACACCAGCAGAAGUUGCCGGACAACGAGCCCGCCUGACCUACUACAGGACGAAUCGACUCUGCUUUGCCAUCUUACUGGAGAACAUCAUGAUUUUCGUCGGCUGUUUUGUAAUCCUUCUGGCUGUCAGUUUACCACUCUCACAGGGAGAUGUAUGUGGAUACGGAUGCUCUCAGCGCUACUCAACGUCGUGUGGGUUGUUUGGCUGGGAUCGCUGUACCAGACACAGGGUUGCACCCUGUAAGCGCCGUGGACGGCUCCUACUAGACUGCGCAUGUAUGUUUCUCUGCGAGUCGCUCCCAUUUUCCACCGGUGGAAAAUGAGUGCGCCCUCUUGUGACUCAACAGUACAGUGACCGCGCUCCACGAAACUUGCAGCCAAUCAGUGAUAAGGCAAGGGAAAGGUCGAACAAUCCAAUCACAUUUUAAAAAGGGGGCGGGGUUUUAGGACAACUAAUUAGUGUAAGUGAGAUAGUGUGAGUAAUGCUAAUCAGCACUAAGGGAGAUUGGAAUCAGCACUGUCGCCACUGACAGACCGGUGCUGAUUGGCCAGGGGGAUGCAUCGGUAAAACCGCUCGGAUGACAAAGGUCUGUAACAAUACGUUAUAUUUUGGGGUUGCCUUUGCAUCGGGGGGGGGGGAAUACGCCUGUCAUUUACUUUCAAAACCACAAAUAAUUCAAAAUUUGUGACUUUAACAUGCAUAAAUGUGGAAUUUUUAGUUAGUUUGUUUAGAUGUCUUAUUUUAACUCAGCACUUUAAAAUCAAAUUCUAUGUUGGUUGAAAUUUAGAAAAUAAUACAGGGAGAGCGUUUUCAACUGUGUGAUAGUAUGGUACGCUGACUAAUUUUCACCAAACCCAAUUACCAUUCAUAAUAUCAAAUUAUAGCGUUCUAGACAAAAACGCUAGGGCCUAAAAGGGAACAUUUUUCUGGAAUGUGUUACAGGCGCAAUUUUCCAUUUUUCUGGAUGUCAUCCGUAUCUUACUUAUCCUUUUUUCCCAGGGCCGCGGUAUGUCCCUAAAGUAGCGGGUUAAACGUCAAUUUUCUUCUCAAUAACUUCUUUCUUUUCUUGCACCAAGUAUACGCCUAGUACA